GGAGGGUGCAAGCGUUGUUCGGAAUUACUGGGCGUAAAGGGCGUGUAGGCGGUGGAGUAUGUCCGACGUGAAAGCCCUCGGCUUAACCGGGGAAUGGCAUUGGAAACUACUUCACUUGAGUGCGAGAGAGGAUGGCGGAAUUCCUAGUGUAGAGGUGAAAUUCGUAGAUACUAGGAGGAACACCUGAGGCGAAGGCGGCCAUCUGGCUCGUAACUGACGCUGAGACGCGACAGCGUGGGGAGCAAACAGGGAUUAGAUACCCUGGUAGUCCACGCCGUAAACGAUGAUCACUAGAUGUUGGAAGUAUUGACCCUUUCAGCGUCGCAGCUAACGCAUUAAGUGAUCCGCCUGGGAGUACGGCCGCAAGGCUA
rnacentral:rRNA from 1 species